AAAAGGCCUGCAAAGUUGCGGGUGCACUGGGCGGGGGCAGUGGUGGGGGGGCUGUGGGGAGAAGGAGAGAUGAUUAGAUUAGAAGAGGUCUGCUGUAAAUAACACACAAGAAGGGCAUUUUGUUUCUUUUUAGGCCCUCUUUUGUAUCAUGUUUUAUACAAGGGAAAAGAGCAUAAUACAACAUCUAUGAAAUGUUAAUGAGGGUUACUCGCUAUUUACCUAGGUUGGGGGUUUGCAGAGAAAGCGGGGCUGGGCUGGGGGGAGGGAGGUGGAGAAGAUCAGAUUCCAUGCAAAUACAGACAUCCGGGAGCCUGGAAGGCUUUGGAACCAGAGCCGGACUGGACCCAUUGUAUCUGGAUGGAGGGGAAAGAAAGCAACAAAUGCUAUGGCUGGAAUGGUGUUUUCCCUCUUGCCCAGAAGCAAAGCAGUGUGAGCCCGGAUGGGAGCCUCCAGCAGCCCUGGGCUUGCAUUCUCCUGGUUUAGGAAGUCUCCUGGUCCCGCGGAGGUCCUGGCUUGAAUCUCAUUGGACCGCCGAGUCAUCUGCCAAUCACAGAGGUGAUUAUAUUGCAGGACCGUAUGGAGGGAGAAGUGAUUUUGUUUCUUGGAUAAUGGAAUUAAGUGGGCGCCUCCCGAUUUAUUCCUAAAAACACGGAGGAGCGGUGUUUAUGUUCCCGAAACGUGAAAUCAGUAGAAACACCACUAGGUAAAGAAAGGGAAAUUAGAAAGAAAAUCACCCAUCAUCUGAUUAUACGACAAGCCAUGAACAGUCACACACUUGAUUGUCCUCUGCAAGUCUGUAGAAAAGAUGAUUAUUAAAAGAAAAAAAAAAGGCGCUGGUUUCAGCAUGUUUUUUUGUUGAGAAGGGGCUGUGGUGGCUGGAAAGGAAAGUGUCCUGGAACAAAGGACGGCCCUCAUUUUUGGGCAAGGUCCUUAGGGCUCACAAAGCCUUUUCCCACGUGUGCUCUUUAUCCUCCUUGUUCUGGUUCGGACAGGCCCCCAGCUCCUCUCACCCUCCUCGUACCUGCUCCAGGCUUCACGUGCUUGGAACGCACCCUGGUUGUCACAGGCCCCGGUCCUGGCAUUUCCGCCUGUAGACAGACGUCUGCACACCAACCUACCCUGCUGUUCCACAGCCCCGCGGCUGGAUCACCUCCAUUUUUGUCUCUGUGGCUUCCUCUCCUCGUGCUUUAGGAUUUCCUUCAGUUCUGGAGCCACCGCCCUGCCUUGAGUGCUCCUGGCCUUGGGGACUGUCCCCUUUCCCUGUACUCCGGUGUCCUCUAUAACCUCUCAGUGCAUCCAAGGGCUAUCUUCUUGCAAGGGGUCUGACGACAGACCUUGCUUGUCUCUAGAUUGAGGGGUCCCUGUGAGCAAGACCCAGCACAGAACAUGGCUCAGAGUCUGCACCCAGGAAAUACUGGGUGAGCAAAUCCCGGGAAGGUGGUGUCAGUGUCCCUAUGGUACAAAGAAACUGAGGGUCACAGAGGCAAGGUGAUGGGUCCUGUGUCCCCAGUGAGUUAGAGGCAGUGUCUGCCGACAUUCCUACUUGCUGUGGAGCUUGAGUCCUUCAUAGACCAGGAGACUGGGGUAUGUUUGAGGCCAUGCCCUUUGGGGCUCAGGCUUUCUCUCUUAGAAGCAGAGCCUUGGGGUUAAGAAGCCCUGUGAUGCAUGCCACCGCUGGGUGGUUCUUUGCGGGGGGACAAGUAUGGGAGAGGUGACACUAGGGUUUGGGAGAAAGAGUCUGCACCUUUGCUGGACUUCAGAGUGAACGGAGUAACCAGGGCCAGGUUGGGACCCCAAAUGGAAGGAACAAAGUUGGGUCAACUCCUUCAAUCAAGAUGUGCUUACAUAGUCUCAAUGAUAUGGGCACUUUCUGUCUCCUAUUUAAAAGAUAAGGCUAAAGGGGAGAUGAAAUUAUGAAAAGAGAUAAAAUGAAAGCAAAAAGAAGGUAAUAUUCAAAAAGGACCUGCAUGAAAGAGUGAGAGUCAUCUGUGGGGUCAAAGGAAUCACACGAGAGUAAAAAGCACAACCCUAAUUAUAGCCGCCAGAGGCUGCAAGCCAAUGUUUGUGUCAGCAGCAAGGCGGGCCUUCUCCCCUCCUAGGCACCCCUGCAAAAAGCAAAGAGCCCCAUUCAUUUAACACACUUCUCCGGAAAGCCUACUAUGCACACGUCCCCGAGGACGCGAGGACUCUUGCAGUCCCCGGAAAGCGAUAAUAAAUGUCAUAAAGAAACACCGUGACA
ensembl:lncRNA